rnacentral:rRNA from 1 species
CCUACGGGCGGCAGCAGUGAGGAAUAUUGGUCAAUGGGCGGAAGCCUGAACCAGCCAAGUAGCGUGCAGGAUGACGGCCCUACGGGUUGUAAACUGCUUUUAUACGGGAAUAACGCGCCUUACGUGUAGGGCUUUGCAUGUACCGUAUGAAUAAGGACCGGCUAAUUCCGUGCCAGCAGCCGCGGUAAUACGGAAGGUCCGGGCGUUAUCCGGAUUUAUUGGGUUGAAAGGGAGCGUAGGCCGCAUGUCAAGCGUGCUGGGAAAUGGCCGGGCUCAACCCGGGCCUUGCAGCGGUAACUGGCGUGCUUGAGUCCGCGGAAAGCAGGCGGAAUUCGUCGUGGAGCGGUGAAAUGCUUAGAUAUGACGAAGAACCCCGAUUGCGAAGGCAGCUUGCUGCAGCGGAACUGACGCUGAUGCUCGAAAGCGCGGGUAUCGAACAGGAUUAGAUACCCCAGUAGUC